rnacentral:rRNA from 1 species
UUGUUGCAGUUAAAAAGCUCGUAGUUGGACUUUAGGCAAGGCGGCCUGGUCACCCUCUGGGUGUACUGGGAUCGCUGCGCCUCACCUUCGGGGAGCUAGUCGUGCUUCGGUGCGCUAGGGAACCGAGCCUUACCUUGAGGAAAUUAGAGUGUUUAAAGCAGGCUUAUGCUUGAAUACGUUAGCAUGGAAUAACAUGAUAGGACUUUGGUUCUAUUUUGUUGGUUUGAGGACCAAAGUAAUGAUUAAUAGGGACAGUUGGGGGCAUUAGUAUUCAAUAGUCAGAGGUGAAAUUCUUGGAUUUAUUGAAGACUAACUAAUGCGAAAGCAUUUGCCAAGGAUGUUUUCAUUAAUCAAGAACGAAAGUUAGGGGAUCGAAGACGAUUAGAUACCGUCGUAGUCUUAACCAUAAACUAUGCCGACUAGGGAUCGGUGGAAGUCGAUUUUGACUCCAUCGGCACCUUACGAGAAAUCAAAGUUUUUGGGUUCUGGGGGGAGUAUGGUCGCAAGGCUGAAACUUAAAGGAAUUGACGGAAGGGCACCACCAGGAGUGGAGCCUGCGGCUUAAUUUGACUCAACACGGGAAAACUCACCAGGUCCGGACAUGGGAAGGAUUGACAGAUUGAGAGCUC